ACAAACUGGAAUUCAGGGCACUGAGAAUCUGAGAGAUUCUCACAGAGCUGAGCUCGCCCGCUCUUCACCAGCAAGGAGCUGCAUUUAGGGGCUCCCUCCUCAUUCCUCCAGCUCCCCAGUUUCCAAAUUCCCUCCUCUCAAAGACAAACCUGCAGUGGAUAUUUCCAGCCUCCCAGCCUCGGGAGGAGCUGGCUCCUGAGGAGUGAUAACCUGGCCAAGCAGACUUGGCACCAGGAAAGGGACAAUUCACAGCCCAGACAACUUUACCUGGAUUGAAUUAAUCCGAAGCAGCAGCAGCAGCAGCGCCUUCCCAGCCCUGGCAGCACGAGAUUGGCACAAUUCCCUGAUAAUAAAUUGUGCAGAGAGCAGCAAGAAAAGGGGAAAAUCCUGACUUUGAUGUGCUCUAUCUCCCAUCUCCAGCACAGCACGAGAGCCCUGGCCACGGAUGAGGGUGGAGAUUGCAGGCGUGGAGGAAAUGGAUUGUGCUGGAAAAGGGCACGCUCCCAGCAGGACGCUGCGGCCACGGCGGUGGCCCUGGAGAUGAUUCCAGCAGCAGAUUUGGUUGGAGGUUUGAGUGCAGGCACAGGAUGCAGCUGGGAUUUGGGAAUACAGUCACACAGAGCAGGAGCAGCGUGCAUUAUUCAUCACACAGGUAACACUGCCACGAGGAGAACAUUCAGCUGUUAAAUGUUGGGAAACGGGGAAAAAAGAGAGGCCAUUGCUGUGAGAAGAACUCUGUGCUGCAAAUCCCUGGCUGCAGCUGUCCCACAGUUUGUGUCACCAUUAAAAUGAAUAAAAAGCAGGAUUUUGGGGGGGUUUUGGGGGUUGGCCACCUCUAUUCCCAUGGGAAGAUCCAGCUUGUGAUCCCCAUGCAGGGCACAGGGGAGGUUUCCAGGCUGUGAAAUUCUGUCUCUUUCCCUCCAGUCUGAAGGGAAAACAAGGUGGGAUUGCCCCCCCCGGGCAGUGAUUCCCAUCAGGAGCUGACCCUGCUCUGGCUCCAGGAGCUCCAGGAGCCCUGGGAGUUCCUCUUCCCGUGGCCCAAGGGCCGGUGAAUCACAGCCCACGUGUCCCCACCCCAUCCACAGCCCCUCUGUCCCCAUCCCACAGCCACGCCAGGGCUGAAGCACCUUGGAUUUCCCAAUCCAGCCAAAUUUCAGCAUUUCCCUGAGCUAUUUCCUGGCACCACAGCAGGAGACACUGCUGAAACAGGGCCAGGUCACUGCCUGGGGGUCCAGAUGGGAAUCCCUCAUCCAGGGAGCUCUGUGGGGCCAGAGCAGUGGGACAGGGACAGGGAUAGGACAGGGGCAGGGACAGGACAGGGACAGGGACAGGGACAACAGCACUGCAGGGCCAUCGAUCCCAGGCCUGUCAAGGCCAGUGGUAACACAACAGUCAACAAGACACAUGCCCUGAGGCAGACCUCAAAUAUUAAAUUCCCCAGCGGAACGGCGUUCCCGGCUUUAAUAAUUAUCCUUCUGCAGCACAGGCCCUUGAAAUCUUCUGAUGGAAAGUGCAUAAUUUAAGUGCAAGGUACUUGUAUUGUUGUUAGUGGUUAGUGGUGAGAUCUGUGCCAGGUCUGCUCUCCUUUAACAUCUUCAUUUGAUCUGAAAGAGGGAGGGUAAAGAGCCUGUUAAUUAAAUUUGCAGAGGAUAUGAAAUGGGAAGGUGCUGCAAAUCCUGGUGAGGACAAAGAGCUAAAAGAUAAUGCACUGGGAAAGAAGGGUCAGGCCUAGGAAGGAAAUAGCCAAAUGAAAUUCAUUCUGAACAAAUGCAAAGUAAUCCAGCUGGGGAAAUAUAAUUUAACACCAUGGAGACUGGGAGAGAGACAUUUGGAGAGCAGUAAUAGGGAGCAGCCUGAGGGACAGCAAAUUACAACGGGAUUUGGGAUGUGUGGUGGUGGGAAGAGCAGGAGCUGUGCACACACAGCACCCAGACCUUUCUGACCCAGAAAGAGGGCAAGUUUUGUGUCAUUGUGCCACUAAAUGCCACCCUACCUGUGUCUGCCAGGUGUCAGGGGGCUGAAAGAUCCCGGCACUCCAGAAAAAACAGGGAUAUUUGUGUUUGGGGCAGCCGGGGGCCAGCUGGGGCCAUUUUCUGUGACAGAAUCCCAAAUCCCCAAUGUCCCCUGUCCUGCAGCCCCACCUUGGAUCGGGCUGUGGAGCUGAGAGGUCCAGGACAAGCAGCAGCCCUGUGCUGGGAGGGUCUCAGCCCCCAGCAAGGGAAGGGGCUCCCAUCCCAAACUCCAGGCCACGGGAGAAUGUCACCGACGCUGUCCCUCCCCCUACAGCCACCACAGCGACACCUCCAGGGUCACCAGUGGGGGAAUUCUGCCUCCAGCACCUCCCUGUCACCUCCCUGUAGGGACACUGCUGUCCUAACUUGGGCCCAGCUGCUCCCAGAGCAUCCCUGCCAUGGGAUGGUGGCACUGCCCUGGUCCCCGUCCCUGCGGCACUACGGGAAUGUCCCCUGGCAGAGGUGGGCACCGCUCCUGCCUCCCCCCGCCCUCCCAGGCAGCCGUGCAGAGCAGACAGCUCCAUUUAGGAGGCGCAGCAAGUUUCCAAGAAACCCUGCUGCCUCCAGAGCCAGCUUGGCAUGAAUAUUUCAGCGCAGCUGCCCGGCCCCGGCUGUGUCUGCGCCCAGCCAGGAGCAUCCCUGUGCUGGGUGACCCCGGGGUGGCCUCUCCGGCACCCAGGAACCUCGGGAGAUGUCCCCAAAGUCACAAAGGGCACAGCUCGGUGGCCAGCACGCCCUGCCCGCUGGUAGCCCCGGGCAAUGUGCCCCCCUGGCCGUGCCAGGAGCAGCCACACGUCUGCGGGGGUGUGGGGGGCACGGCUGGGGUGGGGGCAACCCAUGCACCGCUCAUUAGCCUCGCUCCGCCUGUCCUAAUUGCCUGCUCAGGCUGAAAGAAUUGUGUUAGAGGCUGCUCUGCCUAAUUAUUAUUGUUCUUUUAAAAAUAACGGGGGAAGGGAAGAGCGAGCGGGAGGGCAGGGGGACGGGGAAGGCCGGGCUGGAGCAGCUUUGCAGGAUAAGUGACUUGUUUAAUGACUGGGAGCUGCGGGGCUGGGAGGGAACAAACAGGUCUGAAAUUGGUUCGCCCCCUCCCCGCCUCCUGCCUGCCCCUCUCUCCUCUCCCACCGUUUAUUUCCGAGUGAUCAGAGGCAGAAUAAAAACCCAUCUCGUGUAAUAGAGGCAGAGGAUUUAAUCUGCGUGCCUGGGACUUCAGCAAACUGCAAACAUCGAUCCGAGCCGGUGGGGAGAGAAAAGAAAUUUACAGGCCAAUAAAAAUAUAUUAAAGAAACUUCCCCUGCCCUCUCGCCGGGGUGGGGGCGAUGCCACGGGGCUGCAGGCGGGGACAGGAGCCCGAGUGUGGCACGGAGUGGCCCAGGGACCCCGGGGAAUGGUCCCGGGCCCGGGGGGCAGCGAGUGGCCCCGGGAGCCCCCCCGCUCGCCCGGGGCUGCUGCGGGGCCAGCGGGCUGAGAAGCGCAGGGUCUGGCAGCCAGUCUGACACUUAAGGAAUUAGCUCUGCAUCAUUUGGAGUUUUCUGCUCUACUAAUUUUCAGCCGGCUCCUCAUUUGGGUCUUUCCCCACCUCCCAUUUUAAAGGGGCAGCGUCGCGGAUUGCCGGGAUCUCCUGGGACUCGGGGGCAGGGCUUGGUGCCGCUUAUCACAUCCUCCCUUGGCAAAACCGGAACAUUUUUCCCUCUUCUCCAGCAGCCUCUUCAUUUCCACAUGGUGUUUCCUUCCCCUGCU